rnacentral:rRNA from 1 species
UACGGGGGGUGCAAGCGUUGUUCGGAAUUACUGGGCGUAAAGGGCUUGUAGGUGGCCAACUAAGUCAGACGUGAAAUCCCUCGGCUUAACCGGGGAACUGCGUCUGAUACUGGAUGGCUAGAGUGUGGUAGAGGGCUGCGGAAUUCCAGGUGUAGCGGUGAAAUGCGUAGAUAUCUGGAGGAACACCGGUGGCGAAGGCGGCAUGCUGGACCAAGACUGACACUGAAAAGCGAAAGCCAGGGGAGCAAACGGG